UGGUGCGAUCAUACCAGUAAUAAUGCACCGGAUCCCAUCAGAACUCUGAAAUUAAGCUUGCUUGGGCGAGAGCAGUACUAGGAUGGGUGACCGGCCUCCUGAGAAGUCCUUGUGUUGCACCCC